CCUGGUUAUUGAAGCGACUUGGAAACACCCUUUUCCAUCCCGAACAAGGAAGUGAAACGAGUCAGCGCUAAUGAUACUCUCUCCAAUCCGGAGGGGGGAAAGUAGGUCAUAGCCAGGG
rnacentral:rRNA from 1 species